CGCAUCCUGGGGCUGGAGCAGGUCCCAAGGGUUUGGCUGUUCGCCAAUUAAAGCGGUACGUGAGCUGGGUUUAGAACGUCGUGAGACAGUUUGGUCCCUAUCUGCCGUGGGUGUAGGAAACUUGAGAGGAGCUGUCCCUAGUACGAGAGGACCGGGAUGGACAUACCUCUGGUCGAGCUGUUGUCGCGCCUGCGGCAUUGCAGCGUAGCUAAGUAUGGACAGGAUAACCGCUGAAAGCAUCUAAGCGGGAAGCCCCCCUCGAAACAAGGUUUCCCUUGAGAACCGUGGAAGACCACCACGUUGAUAGGCCGGAUGUGGAAGCGCAGUAAUGCGUGAAGCUGACCGGUACUAAUUGUUCGAUAGGCUUGAUUGU
rnacentral:ncRNA from 1 species